ACUAUGUCUUGCUUGACUAGGUAUGCCUAAAUCCUGUUGGGCUCAGUAAUCUAUUUAGUGAUUCUUCUGCUUGCUUUUAGAACGUUGCUGGUAUACAACCAUCUUCUCCAGUGCUCAGUGUGCCGUGUGGUACAUGAUGUUUUGGGAUUUGGUGCAGAGGAGUAGAUGUGUCUUCCCUCUGUGGCAUGUUCUGCUCUUUGAUCCCAGUUGUCUGUCAGCCAAUGCACAGAAUAUCUUUGCAAGCCAAGAGGAGGAGGAGGAGGGAGCUCUGUGCCCUGUUUGGGUAGUGUCUGUGGUUCUCAGUGGGCUGUGGAGGAUGCAGAGGCAGACUGCUCAGUACAGCAGAGUAGAAGAAAGACAUUUUACCCAACAAUUAAUUUGCAUGACAAGAUGUGGUGCAAAAUAAAAAGCAGCAGAAG
rnacentral:lncRNA from 14 species